UAGUGGCGGACGGGUGAGUAACGCGUGGGAAUCUGCCCUCAGGAGGGGGAUAACGGUUGGAAACGACCGCUAAUACCCCAUAUGCCGAGAGGUGAAACGAAAUUCGCCUGAGGAUGAGCCCGCGUCUGAUUAGCUAGUUGGUGGGGUAAGGGCCUACCAAGGCAUCGAUCAGUAGCUGGUCUGAGAGGAUGAUCAGCCACACUGGGACUGAGACACGGCCCAGACUCCUACGGGAGGCAGCAGUGGGGAAUUUUCCGCAAUGGGCGCAAGCCUGACGGAGCAACGCCGCGUGAGGGAUGAAGGCCUCCGGGCUGUAAACCUCUUUUCUCAAGGAAGAAGAACUGACGGUACUUGAGGAAUAAGCCACGGCUAA
rnacentral:rRNA from 1 species